GUUUCCCAGAUCAAACCAAAUGAAUCUUUAAAAUCCAAUGUAAUUUAGCUAAUUUCUGCAGAGGGUAUUUGUAUAAAGGGGUAAAUAUAUUCCGGCAAUUUGACCCUCGGCCAUUUAUAAUUUUGUUGAGUGAGUUUAAUACUCUCUUCCAGAAAUCCAAAGAAUUGCCAGCAUGACAUUAAAUCCUACAGUAUUCUUGUUGGGAGAGUAGGAUGGAGAGAUGAAUGAGGAUUUGAUGUACUAUUCUGUUUAUGGAUGAGGAGCCAAGUAUACAAGAUCCACAUGACUUCAAUGGAUAGAGAUGUAUUCUUGAAAGACCCAGACUAUGAACAAUUUCUCCUCAUCUCCCUCGCCUCAUCUCUAUUUGCCUAACAUAUCUGUAUCAAGCUUUGCAUCUGGCAGAAGGCACACCAUUCAUUUCAGUGAUCUCUGCCAUUGGGUCCUGCAUGAAAAAGCAGCUGAGCAACAUGAUCCCUUUGACCCACUGCUGGAGCAACAAAUUUAUUAGAGAUAUAGGCAUGAGAAAUGAAAGGGAAGUAAAACAA